rnacentral:rRNA from 1 species
GAUAAACGCUGGCGGCGCACAUAAGACAUGCAAAGUCGAACGGACUUAACCAUUAGUUUACUAUUGGAGCGGUUAGUGGCGGACUGGUGAGUAACACGUAAGCAACCUGCCUAUCAGAGGGGAACAACAGUUAGAAAUGACUGCUAAUACCGCAUAUGCCCUAAGUACCACAUGGUACAAUAGGGAAAGGNGUAAUCCGCUGAUAGAUGGGCUUGCGUCUGAUUAGAUAGUUGUGGGGUAAUGGCCGUACCAAGUCGACGAUCAGUAGCCGGACUGAGAGGUUGAACGGCCACAUUGGGACUGAGAUA